GAAGGGCCCGAGCGUUGCGCGGAAUCACUGGGCUUAAAGCGUACGUAGGCGGACAAGCAGGCAUCUUGUGGAAGCCCUCGGCUCAACCGAGGAAUUGCAGGGUGAACCGUUUGUCUUGAGGCGAGUAGGGGCUGUCGGAACGAUAGGUGGAGCGGUGAAAUGCGUUGAUAUCUAUCGGAACGCCAAAGGCGAAGGCAGACAGCUGGGCUUGUUCUGACGCUGAGGUACGAAAGCGUGGGGAGCGAACGGGGGAUUAGAUACCCCGGUAGUCCACGCCGUAAACGAUGUGCACUAGAUCGAGGGGGGUUCUGACGCCACUCUCGGUCGAAGCAAAAGUGUUAAGUGCACCGCCUGGGGAGUACGGUCGCAAGGCUA
rnacentral:rRNA from 1 species